CCGGGGCGCUGGCGAGACUUCCUGCUGCCCUCCGCGGGUGGGUACGCCCAGCGAGGCUACUGCGUGGGGACCGGAGGCGAGUGCGUGGCUGUCGGGCCCCCAGCACCCAGGGGUGUGUCACCAGCCUUUCCCCCAAGAACCACGAGUGCUGGGGGGCUCCCAACGUGCCGGGAGCGGCCGCUGCCCCCGGGACCCUCCCUGCUUCCCUGCGGGGCUCCGAGCUGCCCAGGCCCCCAGCAUCGCCUUCCCGACAGCGGCAGUGUCCACGCGGCCGCCAGGCCCUGACCCGACGGGGUGCCGCGCCCCAAGACCUCCCUUCCGCACAGGUCAGGCUGCCUGCAGAUACAGACCCUUUCCUCUGCUGCCUCAGUGCCAGUGACCUUACAUACAGCAGACGACAAGAGCUCAGUGAUAGUGUAGUGUCAUCAACAUCCGUGAGAGAUAAUGAAACUCAUCCUGCACGCUAACCUGGAGCCUGCUCUCUUGUCUCCUUCACACCCGCCAUGAAGGGAGGAAACAUUAAGCAUAUGAUGCGUGUUGGGGCUUCAGGACAAUCCAAGGAAUCUGGCCUAGUUCAUGAGAGACCAGUACCGCAGCCGAAGCCCCACGAGGCCCCUACGCGUGUCCCAGUGGGAUCUCUGAGCAGCACAUGCCGAGGGAGCCUCGGUCCCACUCAGGCCCUGAGAACCCUCGCCGCUGAGAAUGAACCAAGUACACAUUCUACCUUUGCUUGCCUUACCGACAAAUAAGGAAGGGCUCCAGAGGAACUGUGGGCUGCCUUUUCUUCUCUUUUCCACAUAUGUCACUCUUCUAAGUCGUUGGCUAAUCCUGGGAAGUAACUAAGAAAGGAUUGGAUAAGAUUUUUUUGGCCAACCUUAUUUCUUAAAAUGCAAUUGCUUUUCUUUCUGCAUUAGAAGUAACUUUUGGUUCAGCUGGAGAGUGCGGCCUCUGGGAAGUUAACACCUGCACUUAUUCAGCUGCAGAUGUGACCUGCACACAGGUUCUAGGGACCCACCGUGCCUGGGGCCUCAGUAGGACUCCAGGUGGUCUCUCUUCGACACUGCACAACACUUGGAAAACGCUUUCCCUCGAGCCGCAAAAGAAGAGCCAUCGCUCAGCAUUCUGGAGAUGCACCAACGGAUCUUCUUGGCUGAUGGGGACGCUGGAAGCAGUGUUUAGGGGGCGGGGUUACUUCUUGCAAUUUAGUCUGCAAGCUCUGCGCAGGAAACACGCUUUCCAUUAGGAAGCGCACAACGUGCCGUGCAUUAGGUUAAUGUCAGUGGCUUGCGUAGGGACGAAUGCGUCUCAGGCAUUUGCCCAGAAAUGCACUACGUAACACACGGAUUUCCAGUUCAUAACUGCAAAGGUUUCAAAACCUGAGCUCCAGAGGACACUUUGGAAAUAGGCUAGCUCCAGUGAAUUUUCAGUCCGUGCAUAACCAGUCUCCCCAAAUUGUGUUCCAGGAAAUGAGAUCAAAAUAAAAAUAAAAUCUUGGUCCAGCUGAAGCACUUAUUUUGAUCUGUUGAGGUAGAUAGCCAGGGUUUUUGUCUAAGUCUGUUGGAUGUAGACCCCUUUCUCUGCAUGCUUUGACCUCUCUAACCUUAAAGAAUGUAGGUGGGUUGGGUGACUCGCAUUCACUUUGGGAACUGUGAGCUGAAUUAGUUAGCAUACGCAAUGGGAAAAGUGGAGGAGUAAGCGGGGAGAAAUAAUUUUAAGUUAUAUCUUUAGCUGGAGGAAAAUUGGCCUACCUCCACAAGAGUAAAUACGGUGUGUGCAAGGAUUCAGGUACUCAAAGAUGUCUGUUUUAGCAACAAAGACUAGAUCUGGACUCAACCCCUGGCAUAGUCAGACAUACACCUGCAUGUGCACUAUAUCGAAGGAACCACAGAAGUCUGUGGAAAACUGAUUUAGUGAGAGACAUAAACAACUACAGAUGAACGGACAGGAAUUCAAGACUCCAAACGCUGGACCGCUGGCAGAGCAGUCCGCAGGAUGAACUACUUCCCAAAGAACACAAGCUCACAAGGGCAGAGACUGGGUCGCCUUUCUUAGUCCCUGUUCCAUGCCAGCCUCAGAGCAGCGUCCCGACACAGUCACUCGCGAGCUGUUGACGGGGUGUGUACGGGCUGUAUGACUCCAUGAAUGGAGUUGGAACUAUUUGAGAGAGCAGCUGGAAGAAUACAGCCCACGAGGAUAUAAAAAAGAAACAAAGGAGAAACCAACCCGCGGACUCUAGGAUUCGGCAGCACAUUCUGCAGUAAAGGGGCACUUACCGCUUCAUUACCGUGUUGUUCGUAGAAUCCACGGAGCCUCCCCUCCGUCACGAUCCACGGUCUGAGCCGUGGAGGGUCCACUCCCUCUUCGGGCCUCUAAGUUUCUAUAAAAUGAGGGAGUUGGAAUAAGUUUGGCUCUCACAACCCAGUUCUUCUCAUCCUGUGCAUCUGUAAGUCUAGUACAUGCUGAAUGUCUGUAUCAUGACAGGUUAUUCUUUUUCUUAACCAUUUCUCUCCUUCUGAUUUUUAUGUCAUUUUUAAUACAUAAAAAAGAAAAAAAUGCCAAUUGGAAGUCACUGAUCCUUAGUUAGACACACUAACUCAAACUUACCAUUCUCAUUUCACUGCCAACUCAGCAGAACCCUCUGAAGAGUCCUGAUGCGGACCAUGAAAACAUCCUUUAAAGUUCCAGAGUCUUUCCCACAGUUGGUUGUCCUGAAUUUUCCACUGGCGGCGCUAUCGCGGACUGUCAUCUGCAAAUCCAUCAACGUGAAAGUCAAUGUGGCUGCAAAACCAUUUCCUUCUUUCCCAGAAGUGCCCUCCAGGACAUACCCCGUGGGCUGCCCUUUAUCACCAACCAUGGGCUCUGGGCCACCCCCUUCUCCACCCUGGUGGCCUCUGGGACCUCACCCUCACUCUCCACCUCCACCAUCUAGAAAGAUGAUCUGAACAGGAUGAGUUGACUUAUGAAACACAUUUCAUCUUUUUUCUUGUUGAGUCUUUGGAGAAGAUGCAGUGAUGGCACCACAGGGCUUUCAGCUCAGCCUGACUGAGGACGUCAUGACGUUCUUCAGGAUUCUCAGGACAAGCACGAAAUGGGCUGUUGUUUCCACACAGUGAGCUGGACAGCACAUGUCUCUUACAGGGAGGGGAAGAGGCCUCGCGCAGGCGCACAGACACAGCGCUCCCUGGGACAGAGCUGGUACAAGGACCAUGUGCUGGGCUCUCUGACGGAGGACACACAGCCCUAACUUUACUUCUAGCCAGUUGAACCCGAGCUGUUUGCACUUGCUUGAUCAGUUAUAAAAGCACCUGAGCCAGGGCCACGUGGAACCUCCUUCAAGGGACAGGCUCAGGUCUUCCUCUUGUCCUCAAGGGUCACCUGAGGCACCUGGAAAUCCCUUCUGCUCCUGGUAAAGGACAGGAGAGUGGGACAGAGUUGAAUAUCAUGGAAGAUGGUGGGAGGGAGGCGUUUCUUCUGCACAGUCCAUGCAAGUCAGAAUCAACCUCCAUCCACCUCUGGGCUUUAUGAGCCCCAGGACAUGGUGCAGCUCCCAUGGGGAACAUCAGUUGUGUCUGUACCACGGAUGCGCAGAAAGACAAGUGUAAGUGAUGAACUUGUUCAGAACGCCUGUUAUCAGCUUCAUGACGGAAAAGAUAAAAACUCCUUCCAACUUUAUAUUGUGUGCUUUGUGCAGUGCUGACUCUUCUUGGGUCAAUUUCGGAAUUCACUGCUGUCCCAUCUGAGUUGUGGGACAAAAUCGCUCUGCAGUUCCUAGUGUUCUUAAAAUCAGAAUUCCCUGGGAAUUAAGAGGAGCACACCUGAGACCAAUGAACGUGCACAGGUGGACACAGAAAAGCAGCCACACAGUUACGUGUUCAUCCAAAGCCACACGUAUGUUGUCGAAGACAGAACGCAUAAAGGAGAACAGAUGAUCCCAUUGCAGUAACUGAAAACAUCUUUGACGUUGAGGACAAUCCGUCUGAAAUGUGAAGAAGACCAGCUGUGGUGAUUAUAUAUUUAGAGAUGGUGUCUAAUCUGCCCCUUGGCCCGAACACUUUCCCAGCCCACCCUGUCCCCCACUUUGUCCUUCCUAGUAUCCCCUAAUACAUUCGUCACAGCUGUG